AUUGAACGCUGGCGGCAUGCCUUACACAUGCAAGUCGAACGGUAACAGGUCUUCGGAUGCUGACGAGUGGCGCACGGGUGAGUAAUACAUCGGAACGUGCCCGAUCGUGGGGGAUAACGAGGCGAAAGCUUUGCUAAUACCGCAUACGAUCUACGGAUGAAAGCGGGGGAUCUUCGGACCUCGCGCGGACGGAGCGGCCGAUGGCAGAUUAGGUAGUUGGUGGGAUAAAAGCUUACCAAGCCGACGAUCUGUAGCUGGUCUGAGAGGAUGAUCAGCCACACUGGGACUGAGACACGGCCCAGACUCCUACGGGCGGCAGCAGUGGGGAAUUUUGGACAAUGGGCGAAAGCCUGAUCCAGCCAUGCCGCGUGCAGGAUGAAGGCCUUCGGGUUGUAAACUGCUUUUGUAUGGAACGAAAAGCCUCUUUCUAAUAAAGAGGGGUCAUGACGGUACCGUAAGAAUAAGCACCGGCUAACUACGUGC
rnacentral:rRNA from 1 species